rnacentral:lncRNA from 1 species
CACCCACCAAACUCAUUGACCUCUUGCGAAGACCACAGCGUGUUUCUGUCAGCCUUUUGAGUUUAUGAGACACACGACAUUGCGAAUGUGAAAGAGAAUGAGAAAGAGAGAGACCCAACCAGCCAGGCAGCCCACUCUUUGCCAUACUUCGCCGACUGCUCCUUUGACAAUGUGGUGGGGUAGUGGCGGAGCCGCUCAUACGUUUCCUGUGUCGUGAAACCGCCACACGCUCCCUACGGUACGAAUUCCGCCAUCGCCCCCAUCAUCAAUAACAGAAACCCUAAAAACAACAUACACACACACACACACACACUCUAUAUCUCUCUCUCAUUUACUCAAGGCCGACCAGACCUAAGUCAGAGCUACGCGGAAUGAAAGCCCUAAUUCCAGGUAGCUGAGAUGUGUGAAGGAGGAGUUUUGUCUUAUUAUGAAACACUUAUUAUUGUGAAGAAUAAAUUCAUUCGAUGGAUACAUCGAGUAUUGGCUAAUAUAUGCAAACGUUAUGUGCCAUUUUCUGCUUGAAAUCGAUGCUUGAGCUCCAUUCCUUUGGUUGCUAGCGCUGCCUUUCAGGAUGAUCUCAUAUUUUUAUAUGUGAGUGGAUUUGGUGCUUUAUUCAUUUACUCAUUUUUAUGUUUGUAAUGAUGUUGUCAUCUUCAUUCAUUCAUACAACUCACGGAUUGUACGUAAUGGAUUUAAAUCAAUCUUCAUGCAAUGCAACCUCAAAACUUUGAAUGUUAUUUGAAGGCAAUUUUUUUACCCGGUGUCAAGAUCCCAGAAGACUUGGGCUUUCAAAGUACAUAAUGGUUCAGUAGAACAAUACAUCCAUAUAAUAAAGUUGCUAAUUUUCUGGUAAGUUAUGAGUUGUAAUGAUAUUAUUAUUACUCUGAUAUAAGCUUAAAAAUAUAAUUGGCUCUAUCUCUCAAAUUCUUCUCAAGUUAUAUCAACAAUAUAUGAUGAAUAAAUCUUAGAAUUGCUUGUAUAUAUAUAUAUAUAUAUAUAUAUAUUCAAAUUUUACUACCUUUUGUACAUAUACAUUUAAGACAUUUUUUAUUAUACAAUUUAUUCUUUAAUUAAAGUCAUGGCAUGUAUUAAGAGGAUAUGGAUCCAGCAAAUAUGAAAAGCUUAUAAAGAUGGUGUGUAAAAUAAUACAUAAGUAAAAUAAAUAAAUAAACAAAUAGUCAACUUGUAAAGUAGAACACAUUAAAAAUUAAAAAAAAUGAAAAUGAAAAUGAAAAACCCUUGAAAAAUUACAGAAUUAUAGAUUUUAAAAAAAAACUUGAGCUAAAUGCCAAUUUUCCUUGUUGAUAACACAAAAACGCCAAAAAUUAGGCUCCCAAAAACAUGUUAGAAGUUAGCAACAUAUUGGUAGUUAAAUAGGAAUAACAGGGUUAUAUUUAAAAGGACAAUAAAUUCACAAACCUUCCAAUUCAAAGUUUCAACACAAUAAGAUAUUGUGCACACUAAACUUCACCCAUAUUAGCUUAUGUAUGAAGGUGUUAAGAACAAUGGUAGCUUGUGUUCUACAUAUAUAUUAAUCCAAGGACAACCAACUUGUUGGUACAACUAAAAAAAAAACCAAGGCCUCAAGGAUGUUCAUCUCCCUAUUCUCAUUCUAAACCGCUCAACAUCACUCCACCAAUUUUUUUGUUGAAACAAGCAAAAGGUGAUUAGUUAAAAGCUGCAUCAAAUGGCCAAACCCUACUACUACAACAACAACAACAACAACAAACAAACAAAUGAAAAAAAAAAUGUGGGAAUAAUAACACCCCUCAACACAAUAGUAGUUUUAUCAUUGUUUUGCAACUUUAGGAUUGGUCCAUUUUUCACGUGCUUGUGCACGGUUUGCUUGUACAAUUGUUCAAUCUUUGCACUCGAAUUCCUGUUGUUUUUUUGGGUGCUCCAUUGAGAGAUUGAGAGACUGAUUUUCUGACCGUGUCAUUGCCUGAGGAAAGUCUGCACAAAGGCUUUGUCCUCUUUCCACACUCCCUUUGAAGGCUGUGCACAUGCAAGAAUGGAGCCAAAUGAAUUCAUCAUGCCUGAGUCCACAUAAAUAAAUAAAU